AUUAUGAUACUUCCGUUUGGUCAUUAAAGUGAGAACGGCUUGCCAUUAGUAUGGGGAGAGGAAAAAUCCUAUGA
rfam:Clostridiales bacterium 38-18 SCNpilot_bf_inoc_scaffold_0, whole genome shotgun sequence.